GCUAACAGGGCGCCGCCAUACUCUGUCAUAGUGUCUUUGUCUAAAAGACGCGAAAGCUAAACGGAAUCUUGGUCGGUGGAAGGACGCCCCGGGGUGAUGGUUGGCAGCCUGCAGAUUCGGGUGCUACAGAGGAUAAACUUGACCUGCGAGGUGGAACAGCCGGGUUUGUGAAUCUGAAGAAAGUAAUGGACUGUGCCUGUUUGUACCCACCCAGCUGGCGCGCGAAGGAUCUAUUAAGGGGUCUCAGUUUCGCGUCCUGGGAGCAGAAUCAAGUUGAGCUUUGCGGAGGUCUUGGCUUCCUGGGAUGAAAUAGUUCCAGUGAAGGAAGGAACUGAAGGUACCAAGAUCAGCAUUACAUCCUUCACCAGAGACUCUGUACUGGAGCUUCAGGGAAGAGGCCAGAAUCAACAAUAGAGCAGAUAUUAGAGUUGCUGGCUGUUCCUAAGGGCUCCAGAAAAUGUCCAAGUCCCAAGGUUCACUGUCAUUCAAGGAUGUGGCUGUGGUUUUCACCUGGGAGGAGUGGCAGCUACUGGACCGUGUUCAGAAGAACCUGUAUCAAGAUGUGAUGUUGGAAAAUUAUAUCAACUUAGUAUCAGUGGGUAAGGAGAGCGUUCCCUGGGUAAUGUAGGCAACGGAUUGCCUUUUCUUUCUCAGGGAUGAAAGGGGUGGAGGCUUACAACUGCCUUACUUUUUUAGAUUUGAGUUUCAUACAUCAUAGAUUUCAGUACCUUGUGGCCUCUAACAGUAUUUUUCUCUCACUUCCAAAGCAAAAGUCCUUUACUUGGCCAAGAUGCAAUUUGUUCAGCCCCUUAAAUGUAACCUUUCCCAGUUUACAGAGGGCUUGUAUUUGGGUCCAUGGGUCCUCUGUAAUUCCCCUUGAGUAGGGUAUCAAGUUACCAAAGCAGAUGCAUUCUACCGGUUGGAACAAGAAACACCAUGGAUAAUAGAGGAAGAAAGCCAGAGUCAGAUUCAUCCAGAAGACACCUGGCAAGUUGAUAAUCAUAGAGACUGGCACAAAGGAAACCAUGGCAACCUGGAAACUAUGGAGAGUUACCACAAAGAUAAUGCAUUUGGAAAAAUAUCUUCUCUGAGCUUAAACCUUGAUAUCUCCUUAGCACAAAGAUCUCAUACACCUGACAUACUUGGGAAACAUU